AGCUUUGCGCAGUGGCAGUAUGGUAGCCAAUGAGGUUUAUCCGAGGCAUGAUUAUUGCUAAUUGAAAACUUAAAAGCUUAAUGCAAUAAAAACACUGUGACCUAUUGUAUUGGGGGAGUUGACAGCAAACAAUUAUUUGCUGCGUGAGAUUUUUGAUAGUCACCUUUAAGUCAAUGGGA
rnacentral:snRNA from 1 species